rnacentral:antisense_RNA from 1 species
GAUAUACUAAAAGAAGACAGAUCAGUCUCUCUCCUGAUAAGAAGAGUCACCAAGAGGAACAUCUGCAACAACUAGAUGCUGCUACAAAGAGACCAAUCAACAGCUGCUCAGCAGAGAUACAGAUCUGAAGCACAGAAGUGCGAUAGACCUUCCUGAUGCCUUCGCCAGGAGCAUGGAAUUCUUCCCAGAGUCACAGAAGACGGCACAGCCUGGGGACAACUGGGAAUCACCUGGAGGAUGGCAG